GAUUAAAUGGCUGAAAAUAGGCGGUAAAUUGUAAAUUUAUUUAUGAGAAAUAUUUCUCUUUAAUCA
rnacentral:tRNA from 1 species